rnacentral:rRNA from 1 species
UACAGAGGGGGCAAGCGUUGUUCGGAAUUACUGGGCGUAAAGGGCGCGUAGGCGGCCUUCUAAGUCGAACGUGAAAUCCCCCGGGCUUAACCUGGGAAUGGCAUUGGUGACUGCACGGCUAGAGUGUGUCAGAGGGGGGUAGAAUUCCACGUGUAGCAGUGAAAUGCGUAGAGAUGUGGAGGAAUACCGAUGGCGAAGGC